rnacentral:rRNA from 1 species
GACGAACGCUGGCGGCGGGCUUAACACAUGCAAGUCGAACGGAAAGGUCCGGGUUUGGGGCGGUGCGCGAGGGGCGAAGGGGGGAGGAACACGUGAGUAACCUGCCCUUGACGGAGGGAUAACUUCAUGAAACUGGGGCCAAUACGGGAUAGGAUCUCCUGCCGCUAGAGGGGGGCUGGAAAGUUUCGGCGGUUGGGUGUGGACCCGGCGCUUAACAGCUUGGUGGUGGGGUAGGGGCUUACCAAGGCUUUGACAGGUAGACGGCCUGAGAGGGUGGCAGGCCCAGUUGGGACUGGACUACGGCCCAGCCCACUACGGGAGGCAGCAGUGGAGAAUAUUGCACAACGGGCGGAACGAUGAUGCAGCACAGCCGCGUGAGGGAUAACGGCCUUCGGGUUGUAAACCGAUUUCGUCUGUGCCGAAGCGUGAGUGACGGUAAUGGGUAAAGAAGCACCGGCUAACUACGUG